GAUGAACGCUGGCGGCGUGCCUAAUACAUGCAAGUCGAGCGAACAGACGAGGAGCUUGCUCCUCGGACGUUAGCGGCGGACGGGUGAGUAACACGUGGAUAACCUACCUAUAAGACUGGGAUAACUUCGGGAAACCGGAGCUAAUACCGGAUAAUAUAUUGAACCGCAUGGUUCAAUAGUGAAAGACGGUUUUGCUGUCACUUAUAGAUGGAUCCGCGCCGCAUUAGAUAGUUGGUAAGGUAACGGCUUACCAAGGCAACGAUGCGUAGCCGACCUGAGAGGGUGAUAGGCCACACUGGAACUGAGACACGGUCCAGACUCCUACGGGAGGGAGCAGUAGGGAAUCUUACGCAAUGGGCGAAAGCCUGACGGAGCAACGCCGCGUGAGUGAUGAAGGUCUUCGGAUCGUAAAACUCUGUUAUUAGGGAAGAACCAAUGUGUCAGUAAAUAUGCACGUCUUGACGGUACCUAAUCAGAAAGCCACGGCUAACUACGUG
rnacentral:rRNA from 1 species